ACGGAAGGCAGCAGUGGGGAAUAUUGCACAAUGGGGGAAACCCUGAUGCAGCGACGCCGCGUGAGUGAAGAAGUAUCUCGGUAUGUAAAGCUCUAUCAGCAGGGAAGAAAAUGACGGUACCUGACUAAGAAGCCCCGGCUAACUACGUGCCAGCAGCCGCGGUAAUACGUAGGGGGCAAGCGUUAUCCGGAUUUACUGGGUGUAAAGGGGGCGUAGACGGCGAUGCAAGUCUGAAGUGAAAGGCGGGGGCUCAACCCUUGGACUGCUUUGGAAACUGUAUUGCUAGAGUGCAGGAGAGGUAAGUGGAAUUCCUAGUGUAGCGGUGAAAUGCGUAGAUAUUAGGAGGAACACCAGUGGCGAAGGCGGCUUACUGGACUGUAACUGACGUUGAGGCUCGAAAGCGUGGGGAGCAAACAGGAUUAGAUACCCUGGUA
rnacentral:rRNA from 1 species